AAUUAUGUAAUAUUUAAGCCGUAGACAGUAGGGACUUAUGGGUUUAAAAAUCCUACCGAGGUGAGAUAAACUGAUCUGUGAGAUUAGGGUCUCUUCCGUAUCUGCGAAGAGGCCUUUUUAUUUUAAAGA
rfam:Sporanaerobacter sp. PP17-6a isolate PP176A genome assembly, contig: PP17-6a_contig20